rnacentral:lncRNA from 1 species
CCAGUGAGUUGCAGCGAGUGUACAGGCGCCUCAUAAUGCUUCUGGCGGAUCUAGAGAGAGAGAGAGAGAGAGAGAUGAAUGACAGAGGAAUGAAAAGUAAUUAUCUAGGUUAUUACUACUUUCAGAAGAUGCUGCACCUGAACGCAUGGUGAACCAGUCAACGUCCAAAACUGGAUAACACCCCAUUAUGAACAAGCUUCGUAGUGGGUGCUGAUUCUUCUGCCAAGAAUGAUUCACGGUAAGCGUCAGAAGACGAUUCUCAUCAAAUAUAAAUAAUAAAAUCUAAACCCAUCCAGAGACCGAGAGCAGAACACGAGCAAAUCAUGAGCUGGCGGCAAGCAAGAAGGGAUAGAGUCAACGAAUCGCCA